rnacentral:rRNA from 1 species
UACGUAGGUGGCAAGCGUUGUCCGGAUUUACUGGGUGUAAAGGGCGUGUAGACGGCUUUGCAAGCCAGAUGUGAAAGCCCGGGGCUCAACCUCGGGACUGCAUUUGGAACUGUAUGGCUGGAGUGUCGGAGAGGCAGGCGGAAUUCCUAGUGUAGCGGUGAAAUGCGUAGAUAUUAGGAGGAACACCAGUGGCGAAGGCGGCUUUCUGGACUGAAACUGACGCUGAGGCACGAAAGCGUGGGGAGCGAACAGG